rnacentral:rRNA from 1 species
AGCAGGUGGUUGGAUUAGAAUUCACGAGAAGAACCUUACCUCGCGUAGGCAUGGGGGGAAGUUUCCACAAAUAGAUGGUGUUUUUGGAAGUCGGACACAGCAGAUGCAAGCUGUCGACAGCUCCUGUCGUGACAAGUUGGGUUAAGUUCCGUAACGAGGGCAACCCUUGUCCUUAGUUACCAGCACCUCGGCUGGGUAGUCCAAGGAGACAGCCGGUGACAAACCCGAGG